GACGAACGCUGGCGGCGUGCCUAAUACAUGCAAGUUGAGCGAUGAAGAUUGGUGCUUGCACCAAUUUGAAGAGCAGCGAACGGGUGAGUAACGCGUGGGGAAUCUGCCUUUGAGCGGGGGACAACAUUUGGAAACGAAUGCUAAUACCGCAUAACAACUUUAAACAUAAGUUUUAAGUUUGAAAGAUGCAAUUGCAUCACUCAAAGAUGAUCCCGCGUUGUAUUAGCUAGUUGGUGAGGUAAAGGCUCACCAAGGCGAUGAUACAUAGCCGACAUGAGAGGGUGAUCGGCCACAUUGGGACUGAGACACGGCCCAAACUCCUACGGGAGGCAGCAGUAGGGAAUCUUCGGCAAUAGACGAAAGUCUGACCGAGCAACGCCGCGUGAGUGAAGAAGGUUUUCGGAUCGUAAAACUCUGUUGGUAGAGAAGAACGUUGGUGAGAGUGGAAAGCUCAUCAAGUGACGGUAACUACCCAGAAAGGGACGGCUAACUACGUG
rnacentral:rRNA from 1 species